GGGGAGCCUGUGCUGCAGGAACCCCCUUUUAACAAUAAACCUUUUUCCUGUUUCCCAUUUUCCUUGCUGUUGUAACGACAGACUGGCAGUUCAGUUGCUCAAGUAACACGGACUUGGGUGUUUCAGCUCCUGAACACAUUUCAGUACAAAGAGGCUGUAAAACGUUCCCUCACCAGUAGAACACAUGUUAAAAUUAACUUGCAUUAAAAAAAAAAAUACAGAAAGCUGAUUGGUGGUGGCCAGGGGGACGGAGUGGGGGAAGGUGGGCGAAAUGGGCAAAGGAGGUCAAAAAGUACAAACUUAGAAUUACAAACACGUCCUGGUGAUGUACAGUACGGUGACUAAGGCCGAGACCGUAAGGUAGACUUGAAAGCUGUCAAGAAAAUAAACACAAAAAAAUUUUAUUAUGAUUAUGUGAGGUGAUGGAUCGACGGAUGUAAUGCCCAUUUUGCGAUAUACACAUGUCCUGUUGUACACCUAAACCUAACACAACGUUAAAUGUCAGUUACAUCUCCGUAAAACUGGGAAAAAUACCUUGAGUGGCCUUAAUAUUGAUAAUUAGAAGUUGCAGACUUAAGUCAGUUAUAUUGCCUUUUUUUAAAAAAACAUCUUCCUCAGGCUCUGAAAACUCAUUAAUGUGAUUUCAUAUUUCAUACUGAACAUUUACUGGAACAAAAGUUCAUUUCCCCUUUUCUAAUUCUGGUCUUCUGCUUAGGUGCCUCAGAGAAGCCAUUUGUGACAGAAAUCAUCCUCUAAAAAUAACUCAGCUUCAUUUUCCCCACAGAAAUUUACACAUUGACUCAAAAUGGGAGUUGCUUCUAUAUCAAGUUCAUCCUUUCACCAUCGGGAGGUUUGCUGUUUUCAUAUUCAUGAUGCAGUGUGGCAUAUUCCUCUGUCCUGGGCAUUUCCUGAGAACUGGCAGCUGGAUUCAGAAGCUUCAUUGAACUCAGGUUUCAUCACUUGGGAUGCUGAUAUGAUUCAGGACCUGUGGCUGUUGGUGGUUUGUCCGUACUUACAUGCAUUUUGAAGCCUUCGUGGAUGCCCUGUUUACUAGUGUCAGUGUAAAUGUUGUCCAUGGGUUAUUUUAUUGGGUAGCUCUGUGUUUUUAUAUUGAGAUGUGGAUUCAAAAUUACCUUGCCACUGUAGUCAUUUUCCUAGAAUCCACCAAAUUGAUUUAAAAUAUUCAAGUAGAAUCCACAUUUUCACAGGAAUUGGAAAUGGUAAAUCGCUAAUAACUACCUAAGCUGGGAUAAUUUUAUUAUAAUUUCAGCAAAGUUUAGGAAACGUUUUCUCAAUGUUAUAAAAUCCUCUGAGAGCUUUUAGAGAUGUGUAUUUUUCAGUCUACGUCUGGCACAAUUAAAGAGAAAAUUUAUGUGUCCUCAAACCAGGGUUCCAGGUAUUAAUGGGAAAACCAACUUCAUAAUAAACUUAGGUGCAAAGCAGGUUAUAAGCUGAAAAUAAUAAAAGUAAUCAUUCUUAUUGUUGUAUAAGAGGAGGUAUGUUUACACAGUGUUUUCUCAUAAAUUAUCUCAUUUCAUCCUCAAAAUAACCUUAGCGAGGUAUUGUUAUUAUGAGUCCUACUCCUCAGAAGAAAUUGAGCUUAGAGGACUUAAAUGACUUAAGAUUUUAGCAGGGAGGACUCCACGUGUUAAAGGUUUACUCUUCCACCAAGGGCUCAGCUUUGGAGAGAUUCCUGCAUAGCUCAUGGCAGGCAGUGAAACUUGCCCAGCCAGCUCUAUCAAUCACAUAUAUACAUAUUUUUAAGAUUUAUUU